UACGAAGGGUGCAAACGUUGCUCGGAAUCAUUGGGCGUAAAGCGCACGUAGGCGGCUUCGCAAGUCGGAUGUGAAAUCCCACGGCUCAACCAUGGACGUGCAUCCGAAACUGUGAGGCUUGAGUAUGGAAGAGGGUCGCGGAAUUCCCGGUGUAGAGGUGAAAUUCGUAGAUAUCGGGAGGAACACCAGUGGCGAAGGCGGCGACCUGGGCCAAUACUGACGCUGAGAUGCGAAAGCGUGGGGAGCAAACAGG
rnacentral:rRNA from 1 species